GCAUAUCAAUAAGCGGAGGAAAAGAAACUAACAAGGAUUCCCCUAGUAACUGCGAGUGAAGCGGGAAAAGCUCAAAUUUAAAAUCUGGCAGUCUCUGGCUGUCCGAGUUGUAAUCUAGAGAAGUGUUAUCCGCGCUGGACCAUGUACAAGUCUCCUGGAACGGAGCGUCAUAGAGGGUGAGAAUCCCGUCUUUGACAUGGACUACCAGGGCUUUGUGAUGCGCUCUCAAAGAGUCGAGUUGUUUGGGAAUGCAGCUCAAAAUGGGUGGUAAAUUCCAUCUAAAGCUAAAUAUUGGCGAGAGACCGAUAGCGAACAAGUACCGUGAGGGAAAGAUGAAAAGAACUUUGGAAAGAGAGUUAAACAGUACGUGAAAUUGUUGAAAGGGAAACGCUUGAAGUCAGUCGCAUUGGCCAGGGAUCAACCUUACAUUUGUUGGGUGUACUUUCUGGUCAAUGGGUCAGCAUCAAUUUUGACUGUUGGAAAAAGGUCAGGGGAAUGUGGCAUCUUCGGAUGUGUUAUAGCCCUUGGUUGUAUACAGCAGUUGGGAUUGAGGAACUCAGCACGCCGCAAGGCCGGGUUUUUAACCACGUACGUGCUUAGGAUGCUGGCAUAAUGGCUUUAAUCGACCCGUCUUGAAACACGGACCAAGGAGUCUAACAUGCCUGCGAGUGUUUGGGUGGAAAACCCAUGCGCGUAAUGAAAGUGAAAGUUGAGAUCUCUGUCGUGGAGAGCAUCGACGCCCGGACCAGACCUUUUGUGACGGUCCCGCGGUAGAGCAUGUAUGUUGGGACCCGAAAGAUGGUGAAACUAUGCCUGAAUAGGGUGAAGCCAGAGGAAACUCUGGUGGAGGCUCGUAGCGAUUCUGACGUGCAAAUCGAUCGUCGAAUUUGGGUAUAGGGGGCGAAAGACUAAUCGAACCAUCUAGUAGCUGGUUCCUGCCGAA
rnacentral:rRNA from 1 species